CUUUCAGACCCUGUCCAUGGCCUAUCUCACUGGGAUGUUGUCCAGCUACUACAAUACCACAUCCGUACUGCUGUGCCUGGGCAUCACGGCCCUCGUCUGCCUCUCAGUCACCAUCUUCAGCUUCCAGACCAAGUUUGACUUCACCUCCUGCCAGGGUGUGCUGUUCGUGCUGCUCAUGACCCUUUUCUUCAGUGGAAUCCUUCUAGCCAUCCUCCUGCCCUU